CAUAGGUUAAUGAGGCGAACCGGGGGAACUGAAACAUCUAAGUACCCCGAGGAAAAGAAAUCAACCGAGAUUCCCCCAGUAGCGGCGAGCGAACGGGGAGGAGCCCAGAGCCUGAAUCAGUGUGUGUGUUAGUGGAAGCGUCUGGAAAGGCGCGCGAUACAGGGUGACAGCCCCGUACACAAAAAUGCACAUACUGUGAGCUCGAUGAGUAGGGCGGGACACGUGGUAUCCUGUCUGAAUAUGGGGGGACCAUCCUCCAAGGCUAAAUACUCCUGACUGACCGAUAGUGAACCAGUACCGUGAGGGAAAGGCGAAAAGAACCCCGGCGAGGGGAGUGAAAAAGAACCUGAAACCGUGUACGUACAAGCAGUGGGAGCCUCUUAAUGGGGUGACUGCGUACCUUUUGUAUAAUGGGUCAGCGACUUAUAUUCUGUAGCAAGGUUAACCGAAUAGGGGAGCCGAAGGGAAACCGAGUCUUAACUGGGCGUUAAGUUGCAGGGUAUAGACCCGAAACCCGGUGAUCUAGCCAUGGGCAGGUUGAAGGUUGGGUAACACUAACUGGAGGACCGAACCGACUAAUGUUGAAAAAUUAGCGGAUGACUUGUGGCUGGGGGUGAAAGGCCAAUCAAACCGGGAGAUAGCUGGUUCUCCCCGAAAGCUAUUUAGGUAGCGCCUCGUGAAUUCAUCUCCGGGGGUAGAGCACUGUUUCGGCAAGGGGGUCAUCCCGACUUACCAACCCGAUGCAAACUGCGAAUACCGGAGAAUGUUAUCACGGGAGACACACGGCGGGUGCUAACGUCCGUCGUGAAGAGGGAAACAACCCAGACCGCCAGCUAAGGUCCCAAAGUCAUGGUUAAGUGGGAAACGAUGUGGGAAGGCCCAGACAGCCAGGAUGUUGGCUUAGAAGCAGCCAUCAUUUAAAGAAAGCGUAAUAGCUCACUGGUCGAGUCGGCCUGCGCGGAAGAUGUAACGGGGCUAAACCAUGCACCGAAGCUGCGGCAGCGACGCUUAUGCGUUGUUGGGUAGGGGAGCGUUCUGUAAGCCUGUGAAGGUGGCCUGUGAGGGUUGCUGGAGGUAUCAGAAGUGCGAAUGCUGACAUAAGUAACGAUAAAGCGGGUGAAAAGCCCGCUCGCCGGAAGACCAAGGGUUCCUGUCCAACGUUAAUCGGGGCAGGGUGAGUCGACCCCUAAGGCGAGGCCGAAAGGCGUAGUCGAUGGGAAACAGGUUAAUAUUCCUGUACUUGGUGUUACUGCGAAGGGGGGACGGAGAAGGCUAUGUUGGCCGGGCGACGGUUGUCCCGGUUUAAGCGUGUAGGCUGGUUUUCCAGGCAAAUCCGGAAAAUCAAGGCUGAGGCGUGAUGACGAGGCACUACGGUGCUGAAGCGACAAAUGCCCUGCUUCCAGGAAAAGCCUCUAAGCAUCAGGUAACAUUAAAUCGUACCCCAAACCGACACAGGUGGUCAGGUAGAGAAUACCAAGGCGCUUGAGAGAACUCGGGUGAAGGAACUAGGCAAAAUGGUGCCGUAACUUCGGGAGAAGGCACGCUGAUAUGUAGGUGAAGCGACUUGCUCGUGGAGCUGAAAUCAGUCGAAGAUACCAGCUGGCUGCAACUGUUUAUUAAAAACACAGCACUGUGCAAACACGAAAGUGGACGUAUACGGUGUGACGCCUGCCCGGUGCCGGAAGGUUAAUUGAUGGGGUUAGCGGUAACGCGAAGCUCUUGAUCGAAGCCCCGGUAAACGGCGGCCGUAACUAUAACGGUCCUAAGGUAGCGAAAUUCCUUGUCGGGUAAGUUCCGACCUGCACGAAUGGCGUAAUGAUGGCCAGGCUGUCUCCACCCGAGACUCAGUGAAAUUGAACUCGCUGUGAAGAUGCAGUGUACCCGCGGCAAGACGGAAAGACCCCGUGAACCUUUACUAUAGCUUGACACUGAACAUUGAGCCUUGAUGUGUAGGAUAGGUGGGAGGCUUUGAAGUGUGGACGCCAGUCUGCAUGGAGCCGACCUUGAAAUACCACCCUUUAAUGUUUGAUGUUCUAACGUGGGCCCCUUACCGGGGUUGCGGACAGUGUCUGGUGGGUAGUUUGACUGGGGCGGUCUCCUCCUAAAGAGUAACGGAGGAGCACGAAGGUUGGCUAAUCCUGGUCGGACAUCAGGAGGUUAGUGCAAUGGCAUAAGCCAGCUUGACUGCGAGCGUGACGGCGCGAGCAGGUGCGAAAGCAGGUCAUAGUGAUCCGGUGGUUCUGAAUGGAAGGGCCAUCGCUCAACGGAUAAAAGGUACUCCGGGGAUAACAGGCUGAUACCGCCCAAGAGUUCAUAUCGACGGCGGUGUUUGGCACCUCGAUGUCGGCUCAUCACAUCCUGGGGCUGAAGUAGGUCCCAAGGGUAUGGCUGUUCGCCAUUUAAAGUGGUACGCGAGCUGGGUUUAGAACGUCGUGAGACAGUUCGGUCCCUAUCUGCCGUGGGCGCUGGAGAACUGAGGGGGGCUGCUCCUAGUACGAGAGGACCGGAGUGGACGCAUCACUGGUGUUCGGGUUGUCAUGCCAAUGGCACUGCCCGGUAGCUAAAUGCGGAAGAGAUAAGUGCUGAAAGCAUCUAAGCACGAAACUUGCCCCGAGAUGAGUUCUCCCUGACUCCUUGAGAGUCCUGAAGGAACGUUGAAGACGACGACGUUGAUAGGCCGGGUGUGUAAGCGCAGCGAUGCGUUGAGCUAACCGGUACUAAUGAACCGUGAGGCUUAACCUU
rnacentral:rRNA from 1 species